AGAAAAGUUCCUGGAGGUUCAAGAGAAUAGUACUGGCCUCCACUCAGCUCUGGUGAGGACCUUAAGCAAAUUGCACGACGAUGUGAGGAGUGUGUAGAAGAGCAAAAGGUCACAUGGAAAGACAAGAAGCCAGAGAGAGUGGGGAGGGUUGGAACUAUUCUUUCAAAACAAUUCAGUCUCAUGGAAACCAACUGGGGUCUCAAGAGAGCUAUUAUGUUAAUCCUUUCUGAGGUCAGUGCCUCAAUGACCUAACCAUUUCCCACUAAGCCCCACCUCUUAAAGGUCCCAUCACCUCUCACAUGACCACACUGGAACCAAGGUCCUGACACAUAAAUCCCCAGGGGAGAAGCCAUAGCCAAGCCAUUGCACCGUGUGUGUAGACUUGGAUGGAGAGAGACCUGAGGUUCAUAGGGAAAUGUGGCAAGAGAAGCUCAUGGGUGACUUGCAGGGGAGGCUGGCCUUCAGAGUCUCUGCCUGUGCAACUCAAAUGUGGCGCCACAUUCUGAUGGUGGGAUAAAAUUUCUCUGAGCCAGCUAACUUCCACUUCCACUAUCGGCUAGAGGACUGGACAGCCCUGUUUCCAGGAUGGGAGAAAAUAAUGCUGGAAUUAACAGUCACUGCUCAUAUAACAAGUCACCCUGGAAAUGGAAAACCAGAAAGGGCGCAGAAAUGAGUCUCCAUCAGGAGAGUGUUUCUGGCUUCCACACUAUCAGGGGACGAAGAUCUGAUCCAACUAUCAGAAGGAAACUCUACCAUCUCUGCAAGGUUCCCUGGCACCAGAAAGAGCUGGAGCUGCCUUCAGAUACAGAAACCAAAGGCUCCACAAUGAACUAGAAAAUAGUGGACCGGUGUCAAGAGCCUUUUAAAAACACUAGGAUGUAGCCGGGUGUGGUGGCACACGCCUGUAAUCCCAGCACUCAGGAGGCUGAGGCAGGAGGAUCUAUGUGAGUUUGAGACGAGCCUGGGCUACAUAGUGAGUUUUCCAGGGCAGUCUGAACUACAUAGUGACACCCUGUCUCAAAAAGCAAAAUAAAACAAAACAGCCUCCCCCAAACCAGGAUAUGCUUAUGGGGGAGCUUUUCACUAAAGAAGGAGAUACCACAUGGGCUGAACUUUGCACCUGCAGAGUUGGAGACAGACUGCAGACACUGGGAAGUCACAUCGGCAGGGGAAGAGGCACUGAAGCUUGAAGUAGGGUGGAAAGUGACAGGAACAAGGAAGGACAGAGCCUAGAACCAUAGGAGGACAAGGGAGUGCGGUUCAGGCAAAGGGCCAGGGUGAAGGGUUCCCAUCUACACCGGGGAAGUGCUCAGGUCCUGGGCUUGCUUUCCCAAGUUGCGUUUGUGGAGGUGGCACGGCCACAUCACAGCAAUGGUGCCCGACUUGUUAACCCUAAGACUUGCUUGUGCCAGGAACUGCACCCUGGCUGGCUCUGGGAGGCCAUGAUGAACAGCCUGCGACUGUAGGCUCCUCUUCUCUGUAGUGAGGCCUCCACGAGUGCUUCGUCCUCUGAGGGCACUGUGUGGGCUGGAUGUGAGUAGACAUUUGUGUCCCAGGCCUGUAAGGAAUGCAUCCUCGAAGGCCUCAUUGCAGGUAGAUUCAGGGAGUUUGCAUCAUUUUACUCCUGGAAUCCACUGCCAAGGAAGGAAAUGCAUACGCCAACCUGCUGGACUGCUUCAGCCGCACUAAUAGAAACUCCACGCGAGUUGGCUUCAGUUGACUUUUAAAAGUGAAUUUUAUCGCUGCAUAUCCUUGAAAAAGUACCAGAGGAGCUCUGCCUUCAAAGCCACCCAGAAGAAAGAUACUCGAAUAUUGUUAAAAGACACACCAGGGUACAAAUGUCCUUUCUCAUUCAUCUCUGAUGUUCUCUGACUUGGUACCCCCUCUGUGAAAGUAUGCUCUCUUCAGUUCCAGGUUUACAUUUUCACAAGCCCAGGUCCGGAA
rnacentral:lncRNA from 1 species